AGAGUUUGAUCCUGGCUCAGGAUGAACGCUAGCUACAGGCUUAACACAUGCAAGUCGAGGGGAAACGACAUCGAAAGCUUGCUUUUGAUGGGCGUCGACCGGCGCACGGGUGAGUAACGCGUAUCCAACCUGCCCACCACUUGGGGAUAACCUUGCGAAAGUAAGACUAAUACCCAAUGAUAUCUCUAGAAGACAUCUGAAAGAGAUUAAAGAUUUAUCGGUGAUGGAUGGGGAUGCGUCUGAUUAGCUUGUUGGCGGGGUAACGGCCACAAGGCGACGAUCAGUAGGGGUUCUGGAGAGGAAGGUCCCCCANAUUGGAACUGAGACACGGUCCAAACUCCUACGGGAGGCA
rnacentral:rRNA from 1 species